CAGUCGCCGCGGUAAUACGAAGGGUGCAAGCGUUAAUCGGAAUUACUGGGCGUAAAGCGUGCGCAGGCGGUUCUAUAAGACAGAUGUGAAAUCCCCGGGCUCAACCUGGGAACUGCAUUUGUGACUGUAGAGCUCGAGUACGGUAGAGGGGGAUGGAAUUCCGCGUGUAGCAGUGAAAUGCGUAGAUAUGCGGAGGAACACCGAUGGCGAAGGCAAUCCCCUGGACCUGUACUGACGCUCAUGCACGAAAGCGUGGGGAGCAAACAGGAUUAGAUACCCGGGUAGUCCCUGUCUCUUAUAA
rnacentral:rRNA from 1 species